GACGAACGCUGGCGGCGUGCCUAAUACAUGCAAGUAGAACGCUGAAGGAGGAGCUUGCUCUUCUGGAUGAGUUGCGAACGGGUGAGUAACGCGUAGGUAACCUGCCUGGUAGCGGGGGAUAACUAUUGGAAACGAUAGCUAAUACCGCAUAACAGUAGAUGUUGCAUGACAUUUGCUUAAAAGGUGCAAUUGCACCACUACCAGAUGGACCUGCGUUGUAUUAGCUAGUUGGUGGGGUAACGGCUCACCAAGGCGACGAUACAUAGCCGACCUGAGAGGGGGAUCGGCCACACUGGGACUGAGACACGGCCCAGACUCCUACGGGAGGCAGCAGUAGGGAAUCGUCGGCAAUGGACGGAAGUCUGACCGAGCAACGCCGCGUGAGUGAAGAAGGUUUUCGGAUCGUAAAGCUCUGUUGUAAGAGAAGAACGAGUGUGAGAGUGGAAAGUUCACACUGUGACGGUAUCUUACCAGAAAGGGACGGCUAACUACGUG
rnacentral:rRNA from 1 species